AUGUGUACCUGGCAGGGGAGAUACCAAGAUCACAAAGGUAGUUUUCCCAGGGUGAGGCUUAGCCGUUGUUUUCCAGAUGUGCUGACCCCUGAGAUUUCCCCAAAUGUAGGACAACUGACUGCAUAAUUUGUGGCAGUGGGGGACUAUGUUUGCAUUUUCCCUUA
rnacentral:snRNA from 1 species